CCCGGGAAGUCCCGCCCCGCUCGGGGCGGUCGCGGCUCCGUGCCAGCCGGGGCCCUGCGGGGUGCGGUGCUGCCGGCGGAGGGUCCGGGCCGCGGGGCUCCUUUAGGACCUGAUUUUUUUUUUUCAUUUGUUAAAGAAAAAUGCCUUCCUUGAGUGGAAAAGUGCAGACUGUCUUGGGCCCUGUGGAGCCUGACUGUCUUGGCAGAACGUUGACUCAUGAACACUUGACUAUGAACUACAGCAGCUGCUUUUGUCCACCUUCUCCAGGCCAAGAGCCUUUGUCUGAUGGGCCCAUUGAGAUGAAGAACUUGUUUUGGAUUAAGCAAAAUCCCUACAGCCAUAAAGAAAACCUUCUUUUGUAUCAGGAGACAGAUGCUGUGAGGGAGGAGCUGCUGCAUUUUAAAGCAGCAGGUGGUGGGACGAUUGUGGAAAACACAACUACAGGAAUUGGCCGGGAUAUGAAUACUUUGAAGAAACUUGCUGAAGAAACUGGAGUUCAUAUUGUUGCUGGUGCUGGGUUUUAUGUGGAUUCCACUCAUUCUCCUCAAACACAGGCCAUGACAGUGGAGCAGCUGACAGAGAUUAUUGUUGAUGAGGUACUCAAAGGAGCAGAUGGGACUAAUAUCAAGUGUGGUGUGGUGGGAGAAAUAGGUUGCUCCUGGCCUUUGACUCCCAGUGAACACAGAGUGCUUCAGGCAACAGCAGAGGCUCAGUGCCAGCUUGGGUGCCCGGUUAUCAUCCAUCCUGGCAGGAACAGCGACUCCCCUUUCCAGAUCCUCCGCAUUCUGCAGGAAGCUGGGGCUGAUGCUUCCAAGACAGUCAUGUCUCACCUCGACAGGACCAUCUUUGAUAAAAAGAAACUUCUGGAAUUUGCUAAGUUUGGAUGUUACUUAGAGUAUGACCUGUUUGGUACAGAGUUCCUUCAUUACCAGUUCCAUCCAGAUAUCGACAUGCCGAACGACAAUGAGAGAAUUGCAAGGAUCCGUAUGCUGAUUGAUGAAGGCUAUGAAGACAGAAUUCUGAUGGCUCAUGAUGUGCACACCAAGAACAGGUUGAUGAAAUAUGGAGGUCAUGGAUAUUCACAUAUUUUAAAAAAUAUAGUUCCUAAAAUGCUAAUUAGAGGCAUAUCCCAAGAUAAAAUUGAUAAAAUACUCCUAGCAAAUCCAAAGCGGUGGUUGACUUUUAAGUAGGAGCAAUGAAUAAAUAUGCCUGAUUUAUAAGGAAGCUUGAUAAAAUUCAGAUUUCAGUAGAGCAGUCAUUUAAAAAAAUUUUUUGAAAAGCUAAAAAUUAAGUAGAUGCAAACAAACUAAUUGUAAUAUUUCCUUUUAAUUAGAACAUCAAAAUUAUGUACUGUCUUUACAUUUUCUCCCAUCUGAAAGUUUGCUCAUUAAUGAUUUACUGAAUAUGAGCCUACCUACAGAAUCUUUUCAACUGAAAUUUUAAAAUAAUUGUUUCAAAAGCAUAAUCUGUUACUGAAUGUUACCUCAAAACUACUUCUGAAGAUGUGUCACCUGGAAGGAAAUUUCCUUGAAAGAAAAUUUGUGGUUUUCAGUUAAAUUUCCUGUCUUCAGGGGCUGAUUUUAAUCCUUGUAAUACUGUCAAUCUUCUCAUUAUACUCAUAUUCUUUGAGUAAUACUUGAUUGAAAGGUCUGAAAGUUUUAAUUAGCUUCCAUUGACAAGAGAAGGCAAGAGGAAUCUCAAAUCAAAAAAGAUAAAGUUUCUUUCUAGUUUAACAAUUUACUUAAUUGUAACUGAAAAUGUAAAAAAAUACAUGGAAAAAUAUAUUUUUGAAUAAAGCAUUUUGAUCACCUCUUAAAGUAUGUGCAGUAUUAUUACAGUUGUCUUUUUCUAAUUGCAUUAAUUUUUUAUCAUGAACUUGGAGUCUCACAGCAAUCACGUAAAACUUGACACAUACCAGCUUCUUUUUGUAAAGAUGCAACACCAGCACUCAAAAUAUAUUACAUAAUACAGUUUUAAUGAGUUGUAUUAGUUAUAACAAAGGUUGUGAUAUAAGUCUUUACAAAUCAGUAUAUCAAGAUAUGAUGAAAAAGGAAGAAAUGUUUGCCUUAUAUGUGGCUUUCACAUAAAGUGUGUUCUUUGCUCUUGUCUAACUUUAAUCAGGGCAGGUGAUUUACCCAAAAAAUGGUGUUAUCCAAUAGCAGUGGUAGUGAUUUCAGAAGCUUCUUCAAAUUUGACCGUGUAUGUCUUGAAGUUUUGAACUUUACCAAUACACACCGUAGUAAAAGCACGUUGCUGGUUGUGAAUGAUCUCUAGCUCUAGGUGCAGCACUGCUGGACACUACACAGGGAAUCUCUAGCUACACUGCCGUGGGAUGCACUGGCCAGCAACAGCAACAGUGGAGCGAGCAGACAAGUCAGGCAUGCCUUACCACAAAGUGGUACUAGCUUCCAUGGAAAAGGUCUGUGUGACAGCAUUUUCUCAUGUGUCAGAUCUCCCACUCUUCCUUUGUUGGAAAAUUCCCACUGACUUCAGUGAGACAAGACACCUAAGACAAUAAAGGUUGUCUGUAUUCCUAUGAAAUUCUAGUGGAACAUCUGCAGUAUAUUAAUCUGUAACUACUUUAUUUAAAACAGAACUCAGGUACAGACUAAGUGCUAAAAGGCUAAUGAAGACUAAUUGCUGCAAAGAAAACACUUUGCCUUAGUCUGAUGGUGUGGAUGCCAGGCUUUCUAAAUAUUUACACAACUAACCAUCAAGAAUGGGCCUGUAAUAACUGUCUGAAUAUAUAUUUACAUGUAUACAAAUUAAAAGCCAAAUCCCUUUUCCACUAGCAAUGAGAGUUUUGCCAUUUGCUUUGGUGGAAUCAGGGAUAUGGCCCAAUAGAAUAGUUUGUCAACUGUUAUAUUUUUCAGGGGAAAAUAGUGUUUCUUCUAUCUUUUUCUCUUAGAGGACAGCUAAGGGAAAGACAAAAUUUAAAUGACUCCACUGAAUUGUUUUUCUAUUAAAAGUCUAAUGUAAACCUACAAAACAGAACAUUAAGUUAAGGCUUAAAGCUGAUUAGUUUCUAGUUUUAAGUGGAAGGGUAAGAAAAGUACAAGGCAAACAAUUGCUUUGCAGAGAGAAAGUGUAUUUUGAUUACCUCUUCCUUUUAUUGUAAAAUCAUUCCUCACCACACUAUGAGUGGACUCCAAGCAUCAUUGUUAGCAGAUAAGUCACAAGAACCAAAGCUGAAGUAUGGAUAAAGCAGCAAGAUCAUAACACAUCAAAGUAUCAUAUACACUGAAGAAAUAACUCAGCGUCCUUAGGUGGGCUUUCCUUCCCUAUAAAAAUUGAUCUAUGUAGAACUUCAUUCACAUGGACACUGAACAAUGAGGAAGUAUUUGCUUUGGCGGAAGUGGAUCGCACAUCUGUUUAACUUGGUUUGUGGUUUUUUAACAUAAGGUUUCUCUGUGUUGUACAGAUGUGAAUCAGGUAGC